GACGAACGCUGGCGGCGUGCUUAACACAUGCAAGUCGAACGGUGAAGCUCCAGCUUGCUGGUGUGGAUCAGUGGCGAACGGGUGAGUAACACGUGAGCAACCUGCCCCUGACUCUGGAAUAAGCGCUGGAAACGGCGUCUAAUACUGGAUACGAGAAGGGUCCGCAUGGGCACUUUCUGGAAAGUUUUUCGGUUGGGGAUGGGCUCGCGGCUUAUCAGCUUGUUGGUGAGGUAAUGGCUCACCAAGGCGACGACGGGUAGCCGGCCUGAGAGGGCGACCGGCCACACUGGGACUGAGACACGGCCCAGACUCCUACGGGAGGCAGCAGUGGGGAAUAUUGCACAAUGGGCGAAAGCCUGAUGCAGCGACGCCGCGUGAGGGAUGACGGCCUUCGGGUUGUAAACCUCUUUCAGCAGGGAAGAAGCGAAAGUGACGGUACCUGCAGAAGAAGCACCGGCUAACUACGUG
rnacentral:rRNA from 1 species